AAAGAAAAAAGUAAAUAAAAUGUCAGCAGCCCCAAGUCUGGCUGCCAGCUCACAUCCACCUCGACCACUGUCCCAGGUCUUUGCUACUUCUCUGUGCUGUCACUCCAUUUGUAAAACAGACCUAAUAAUAGCAUCUACCGCAUACAGUUGAUAUAUAUGCAUUAACUUAUUUAAUGCAUACGUAUCACACCAGUGCAUGGUACAUGAUAUUACUUAAAAUAAUAACAUAGAAAGCAAAUUUUUUAGUAACAAAUUAUUGUAAACAAAUUUGGGAAGCAUGUAUUCUAGCAAAUUUAAUCAUCUAUUUUGGGGCACCCAGUUGCCCAUGCCUGCCCCUCUCCGCUCCUCAGUGUUUCUCAAACUCUAACCUGCACAUGAAUCACACAGACAUGUGUUAAAAUGCAGACUCUGAGUCAUAGGUCUAGAGUUGGGCCUGAGAUUCUGCAUUUCCAACAAGCUUCUGAGCAAUAACAGUGCUUUGGACCACGGAACAUACCCUGAGCAGUGAGGUGCUACAGAACCCCCAGCAUCUGUCUCUAACAAACCCA
rnacentral:lncRNA from 1 species